UUCAUUCCUAUAGGUGACAUUUAUAAUAAAGGCAAAAUAUUUAACUGCUGCAGGUAUAACAUGGUCAAUUCUUUAAUAUACAGAAGUGUUGCAAUAAUAGAUAUAUACGCCACGACAAAAUUCUUUAUAUAAAAAAGAUGCUACACGUUUGGUUAGCCACUGGGAAGAAUUGAAGAAAUACAAGUCUCAUCCUAGCUUGUCUAGAUCUCUACACGCUCUUCCUGCCAUAGUUAAAUAUGCUAGAUCGACAGCAACCAACAUAAAAUAUGACUUUUAUUUUCAAAAAUUCCGGAAAUGGUGUAUUCAGAACUAUUUUUCUUUUUUUACCGGCAUCCGUGUCUUCAGGGAAAAAAAGUAGUAUUACAUUUUCCCAGCUUAAGGUUCGCCUUUUGUGUACCCAAGGCAGGUGAAGGAAGUCAGCUUAGGAGCGCUGUGAUGUUAAGAAAAUACAUUGCGUCAGCAGGCCUAGGUAUUAUAGAGAAAUCAGACGAAUUUCUCUUUACUGCCAUAAACUUAAUGAAAACUUCGGGUGAGUACAAAGCUACUAAUAAGUCAAACCCCCUUUCGUAUACCAGAUGU